rnacentral:rRNA from 1 species
GUGAGGAAUAUUGCGCAAUGGAGGCAACUCUGACGCAGCCAUGCCGCGUGCAGGAAGAAGGCCUUCGGGUUGUAAACUGCUUUUGUACGGAACGAAACGGUCCUGGUUAAUACCUGGGGCUAAUGACGGUACCGUAAGAAUAAGCACCGGCUAACUACGUGCCAGCAGCCGCGGUAAUACGUAGGGUGCGAGCGUUAAUCGGAAUUACUGGGCGUAAAGCGUGCGCAGGCGGUGCUGUAAGACAGGCGUGAAAUCCCCGGGCUCAACCUGGGAAUUGCGCUUGUGACUGCAGUGCUGGAGUACGGCAGAGGGGGAUGGAAUUCCGCGUGUAGCAGUGAAAUGCGUAGAUAUGCGGAGGAACACCGAUGGCGAAGGCAGUCCCCUGGGCCUGUACUGACGCUCAUGCACGAAAGCGUGGGGAGCAAACAGGAUUAGAAACCCUGGUAGUCC